AGAUUGAACGCUGGCGGCAUGCCUAACACAUGCAAGUCGAACGGUAACAGGCCCUUCGGGGUGCUGACGAGUGGCGGACGGGUGAGUAAUGCGUAGGAAUCUACCCACGAGUGGGGGAUAGCCCGGAGAAAUCCGGAUUAAUACCGCAUAUACCCUACGGGGUAAAGCGGGGGAUCGUAAGACCUCGCGCCGGUGGAUGAGCCGAAGCCGGAUUAGCUAGUUGGUAGGGUAGUGGCCUACCAAGGUCGACGAUCCGUAG
rnacentral:rRNA from 1 species